GAUGAACGCUGGCGGCGUGCCUAAUACAUGCAAGUCGAGCGAACAGAUGAGGAGCUUGCUCCUCUGACGUUAGCGGCGGACGGGUGAGUAACACGUGGAUAACCUACCUAUAAGACUGGGAUAACUUCGGGAAACCGGAGCUAAUACCGGAUAAUAUAUUGAACCGCAUGGUUCAAUAGUGAAAGACGGUUUUGCUGUCACUUAUAGAUGGAUCCGCGCCGCAUUAGCUAGUUGGUAAGGUAACGGCUAACCAAGGCAACGAUGCGUAGCCAACCUGAGAGGGUGAUCGGCCACACUGGAACUGAGACACGGUCCAGACUCCUACGGGAGGCAGCAGUAGGGAAUCUUCCGCAAUGGGCGAAAGCCUGACGGAGCAACGCCGCGUGAGUGAUGAAGGUCUUCGGAUCGUAAAACUCUGUUAUUAGGGAAGAACAAAUGUGUAAGUAACUAUGCACGUCUUGACGGUACCUAAUCAGAAAGCCACGGCUAACUACGUG
rnacentral:rRNA from 1 species